rnacentral:rRNA from 1 species
UGGGUUUGACAUGCACGGAUUAGGUCCUGGAAACAGGAUUGAGGCCCGCAAGGGUACAACGUGCACAGGUGCUGCAUGGCUGUCGUCAGCUCGUGCUGUGAAGUGUUUGGUUAAGUCCAUUAACGAGCGCAACCCCUGUCGCUAGUUGCUAACGAGUAAUGUCGAGGACUCUAGCGAGACUGCCGCUGUAAAGCGGAGGAAGGUGGGGAUGACGUCAAGUCCUCAUGGCCCUUA